rnacentral:tRNA from 1 species
ACAUAAUUAGUUUAGUAAAAAAUAUAAGGUUGUCAAUCUUAAGAUCAUUUGUGAUUAUGUA